GUGCGCGUUUAAAUUAUGUUUGUUUACCUUUAUUUCACCAGGACGUUGCGCUUAAACCAAAGUUCUUCUAGAAGAGAGACGUAUUCGAGAUUAGCGACCUGUAAAUGGUGAACCCUGCCAUUCGCCCUUCGACGACAGAGACAGGCUGCAGACCCACCGCCGUGACCCCGAAUGGAGAGGCUGUUCAGAAAAUGAACGGCUGGAUGGAUUUAUGGUUAUGAAAAUCAACGGAUCUUUCUGGAAAGUAUUCCAUGUCCAAAUCUUUUGGCAUUGCUGAGCUGGUCAGUGAAUUCAUUCUUGUCGAGACUGAACCAGAUAGUUGAUUUGGCCACUUCUGAAGUUGUUGCUCUCUCUGUGGUAGGUUUAUUUUAAUUUUUCAACCUAAUGAUGAUCUCCAUCACUUAUAUCACUUUGGGUUUCCUGUUAAGAAUUCCAGUGAAGAGCUACAAAACACAAGUUUGACACAUUAUCUUCAAAUAUUAUUUCUGCUUUAAUUUACAUAAAAUAUUGGAAGACCAGCGCUCACCUGACCAUGACACCACUGUCCAUUUACAUUUGAGCCUCUGAACAUGGGAACUUAAACAGUUAAUACAGUGCAUUUCUUAGACCCCUUGACCUAAAAAUUGUUGUGUCACUUUUGGGCUUAACUCUAUGUUUUUAUUGUCUUUGCUCAGGCUGGGAUCCACCUGUUUGUUUAUUUUUCAAUUAACAGUAAGCAAAAAGUGGCAAUAUCUGCGGCCGCAGGUCGUGUGAGGAAGAGAGAGAACCUAAUAGCAGAUUACGCAGGACAACAGGAACCAGUAAACAAAAACGAGCCAUUUAUUAAAGUUGAUACAAAACAAGGAAAAACCAAAAUGAACUGAGAACCUAAAGUGGGAAAUACUAAAAAUACGAAACUUGAGAGACACAAGGGCAAACGAGUAGACACUCCGACAAGGGACACGGAGAGACUGAGACAAUAUAUACACAAGCUGGGAAACACAGUGGGAACAAAUUAGACAUAACAAGUAAGAGAAGGAAACUGAUCGUAAAACACAAGAGAAAAGGACUAUCAAAAUAAAACAGGAAACGCACUGAAAUGCAGACUAAGACACACAACUUGAUGCAGGGAAAGAGUGAGAGGGCACAAGAGAGGGCGAGAGAGAGAUGGACAGAGAGCAAGGGACAGAGAGAGAGAGAGCGACACAGCAAGGUAAAUAAACAGAGAUGAGACUCUGAGGAAAAGACAGAAAGAGGGGAGCGCUAAAGGAAACCGAAUAACCUAAAAUAACCCUGAAUCAGAUAAAUAGCAUAAUGAGAAAACUCAUAAGAAAAAACUAAACUAGAAAAUGUAACCCACUCUUCACGAUCAAAGCAAUAAUAAAUUAAUAAGAUUCACAAAGUCCAGAAUACCAAACACUGGGUCAAAGACCUGGAACCAUGAAAAUAAUAGUAGAUUUCCCCUGAUUUUACAUAAAAUAGAAAUAAAAAAUAACAGAAUAUAUUUAAAGACAUGAUCUGGUUGGACUCUGCUGAAUUUACUUUCUGUUACUGUGGUGCAAGCUCCUUCACUCCUGCAGAUACUCGUCUUUUGUGUAGAAAUUGUGUACUUUCUCAGUCAGUGAUUUAAUUAUAUAGCAGGAGGUAUUGAUCUCCAAUUACAUAACCACAAAUUAUUAAAAGUACAAAAUACACGAGGAAGCUGAGUCUCUAAUUUGGGUUCAUUCGAGGGUCUUUAGUAAUUGAAUACCUCAUACAGGAUCAUUAGUCAUGUCACUCAUGGGCCACUAAAUAGGCCUGACUAGUAAAUCAAACAACGUUUCCAUUAAGAGCAUGUUUUUAGCAUCAUGAUUUGUGUCUGCAGCUCGCGAUUUUAGUGAUACUGAGCACAGCAGUGUGAUCAUCCUAGAAAGUGUUUACUAGCAACAGUGUUCCCACACGUCUUCUCCACAUACACACAAUCCUUGUAAAUUUUAUACUCACUUCAAACCGACUGUAGUGUACGUAGCCAUCAAGAGGCUUUAGAUAUCUGCCACUUUCUCGCAGUUUACACACAACAUGUCCUUUACAGGAAGACGGCGCCUUGUGUGGUGUGACAGGAAAUGUGUUUGCAUGCCCUGUGUGUGUGUGUCUGUCUGCAUGCCUACCUCAAACUUUGUAUGUGGUUUUCUCCCACCACAUAUUGAACUUUGGUUUUAUACUUUAGCUCAUAUUUCUUUUACUGGUGCAGCAUAAGCGUACAUAUGAUGGUUUUUAUUUUUAAACAAGGACAUUUCAAUAUGGAAGGCAUUUUAGAUAUAAACUCUGAUCCAUCUAACUGAUAGUAAUCACAGUAAACAGUAAAUGGACUGGUACUUAUUUAGCCCGUUUCUACUAUAACUGAGCACCCAGUGUUUUUAACUACAAGGCUCAUCCACACUUUCAUACAAGGACUUUUUUCUCUACCUAAGCACCUUCUUACCCGCUUACACUGCAAUGGAUGCAUAAGGAGCAGCUUGGGGUUCAGUAUCUUGCAGAACAACACUACAGGGACAGAGUAGAGUAGCUGGGAAUCGAACCAUUGACCUUCUGACGGUAGACAACCCGCUUUGUCUCCUGUGCCUAAAUGCUGGAAUUAACUUUACUUUAGCAAUAGAAAAUAAAAUAAUAAUAGUGAUGAUGAUGGUUUGGGUAAAAUUUAA